rnacentral:rRNA from 1 species
UGGGGAAUAUUGCACAAUGGGCGCAAGCCUGAUGCAGCCAUGCCGCGUGUGUGAAGAAGGCCUUCGGGUUGUAAAGCACUUUCAGCGAGGAGGAAGGGUAGUGUGUUAAUAGCACAUUGCAUUGACGUUACUCGCAGAAGAAGCACCGGCUAACUCCGUGCCAGCAGCCGCGGUAAUACGGAGGGUGCAAGCGUUAAUCGGAAUUACUGGGCGUAAAGCGCACGCAGGCGGUUUGUCAAGUCAGAUGUGAAAUCCCCGCGCUUAACGUGGGAACUGCAUUUGAAACUGGCAAGCUAGAGUCUUGUAGAGGGGGGUAGAAUUCCAGGUGUAGCGGUGAAAUGCGUAGAGAUCUGGAGGAAUACCGGUGGCGAAGGCGGCCCCCUGGACAAAGACCUGACGCUCAGGUG